rnacentral:rRNA from 1 species
GGACCUCUUCGGAGGUCAGCGGCGGACGGGUGAGGAACACGUGGGUAAUCUGCCUUUCAGACCGGAAUAACGCCCGGAAACGGGCGCUAAUGCCGGAUACGCCCGAUGGGAGGCAUCUUUUGUCGGGGAAAGGGCCAACCGGUCCGCUGAGAGAGGAGCCCGCGGCGCAUUAGCUGGUUGGCGGGGUAACGGCCCACCAAGGCGACGAUGCGUAGCCGGCCUGAGAGGGUGAACGGCCACACUGGGACUGAGACACGGCCCAGACUCCUACGGGAGGCAGCAGUAGGGAAUCUUCCGCAAUGGGCGCAAGCCUGACGGAGCAACGCCGCGUGAGCGAAGAAGGCCUUCGGGUUGUAAAGCUCUGUUGCUCGGGGAGAGUGGCGCGGGGAGGGGAAAGCCCUGCGCGAGACGGUACCGAGUGAGGAAGCCCCGGCUAACUACGUGCCAGCAGCCGCGGUAAAACGUAGGGGGCGAGCGUUGUCCGGAAUCACUGGGCGUAAAGGGUGCGUAGGCGGUCGAGCAAGUCUGGAGUGAAAGUCCGUGGCUCAACCAUGGGAUGGCUCUGGAAACUGCUUGACUUGAGUGCUGGAGAGGCAAGGGGAAUUCCACGUGUAGCGGUGAAAUGCGUAGAGAUGUGGAGGAAUACCAGUGGCGAAGGCGCCUUGCUGGACAGUGA